rnacentral:rRNA from 1 species
UUCCUACGGGGGGCAGCAGUGAGGAAUAUUGGUCAAUGGGCGGGAGCCUGAACCAGCCAAGUCGCGUGAGGGAAGACGGUCCUAUGGAUUGUAAACCUCUUUAGGCGGGGAGCAAUGCCGGGCACGCGUGCCCGGAGGGAGAGUACCCGCAGAAUAAGCAUCGGCUAACUCCGUGCCAGCAGCCGCGGUAAUACGGAGGAUGCGAGCGUUAUCCGGAUUUAUUGGGUUUAAAGGGUGCGCAGGCGGGAGAUCAAGUCAGCGGGAAAAUGUCGGGGCUCAACCCCGGCCGGCCGUUGAAACUGGUU